GAUAAAUCCAAGCAUAACAGAAAAAUGUAUGUUGUAGUUCAUAUCUUUGAUCACACCACUCAAAAAUGGUCACUGCCUCAGAGAGGAGAGAUCAGCUUCAUUCAUCAGUCAUGUUUCUAUUCAUGCACCUGUUCUUUAGCAUCUUACAAAAUCAAGAUGGAUGGCUCCUGUCCACUCUGUAGUUCUCAGCAUCUUUAACUCCUUCCUGAGCAGCUGCUACACAUACAC
rnacentral:lncRNA from 1 species